rnacentral:lncRNA from 1 species
GAACAGCUGUACAUGAAAAAGCACUAUUUAUUCGUAAACAUAAAAUUAAUAACCAGUGUUUUUUUCUUAGUAAUUUCAUUGGAUAUCAUAUAAGUUUGGAGUACAUACUUGCAACGUUUAAAUUUACACUGGUACUCAUUAAACAUUUUAGGGAUCAAUCAUAAUUAGUAAAUAUCUUUUUUGUAAUAAGCUUUCUAGAGUAAAUUAUUCUCUGUUUUCAACUGUUUUGUUUUUCCUUCUCUUUACAUAAAAGAAAUGGUAAAGAUUAAACUGAUUUAUAAAUUAUGGUAAACUCAAAACAUUUUUUACUUAUUACGCUUAAAUUAUUUAUCAGUCAAAGUCAUUGUAUACAUUGACGUUGUCCCUUUCCACAAACAUAAAGAUAUGUGAACUUAACGAAGUGGAUCGUUCAAUGGCUAGGGUUUUGGGCGACAAAGUAGGCAAUUUUCAGAUACAAAAAUUCUGACGGCGCUC